rnacentral:rRNA from 1 species
GACGUAGGGGGCAAGCGUUGUCCGGAUUUAUUGGGCGUAAAGAGCGUGUAGGCGGCCAGGGAGGUCCGUUGUGAAAACUCGAGGCUCAACCUCGAGACGCCGAUGGAAACCCCCUGGCUAGAGUCCGGAAGAGGAGAAUGGAAUUCCUGGUGUAGCGGUGAAAUGCGCAGAUAUCAGGAAGAACACCCGUGGCUAAGGCGGUUCUCUAGUACGGUACUGACGCUGAGACGCGAAAGCGUGGGGAGCGAACAGG